GGGUGAGAGAGGAGCCCCGGGGGACAAGGGCACACGAGGGCUGCCGGGGCACAGGGGGGCUCCCGGCAGCAGGGGGGAGGUUGGUGGCCCUGGCAGCGUGGGACCUCCAGGAGAGAUGGGUCCGAAGGGAUCGCCAGGAACUGCUCCUUCCACGCCGUGCGAGCUCAAAGCCUUCAUCCGCCGCAGCUGUGCCACCGCCUCACCCUCCUGCCCUCUCUACCCCACCGAGCUGGUGCUGGUGCUGGAGAGCUCCUCCGCGGUGCCAGCUGCGCUC